UACGAAGGGGGCUAGCGUUGCUCGGAAUCACUGGGCGUAAAGCGCACGUAGGCGGCUUUUUAAGUCAGGGUGAAAUCCUGGAGCUCAACUCCAGAACUGCCUUUGAUACUGAGAAGCUUGAGUCCGGGAGAGGUGAGUGGAACUGCGAGUGUAGAGGUGAAAUUCGUAGAUAUUCGCAAGAACACCAGUGGCGAAGGCGGUCUGCUGGGCCGUUGCUGACGCUGAGGCGCGACAGCGUGGGGAGCAAACAGG
rnacentral:rRNA from 1 species